AUGAUUUGUGAUUCUAUUGGACAACAUGUUUCUUUGAGUUAUAUAAAAAUUAAGUUUUAUCUGGUGAAUUAUAUAGAAUUGUCUAUAUAUAUCCGACUUGAUUUGUUGACUUUGGUGUUGUCUGCUGAUGUUAAUUGGUGUUAUUAUUUAUUGUCAGCAAAUGUGAUUUUGGUGUUGUCUACUGAAGCUACAACUCAUCUUCUUGUGGAUUGCAUGUUGGUAAUUCAAGUGUG